CAGCACACCAGAUAAUAGGGGAAUCCCUCCAACCCCAUAGAAAACUAAAACAGCACAGGCAAUUUAUGUUCACCCUGGCAAUGCUAGGACAAAAUCAUAAGGCACACAAACUGUGCAUGCCACCUCCAUUAAAAAGAUGGUGGACUGAGGAGGUCAGCACACACUGGGUUCCCUGGUGAGGUACAUGCCCAUGUCAGACAUCACACUCAAUAAGGGCAGUCCCUACAUAGCUCUGGUAAGACAGUCCACUGCUAACCCCCCUACUCCUGUAUGCUCUGUGGGCUCUUGUGUGUUCG